rnacentral:tRNA from 1 species
CAAAAUGUAGCUUAAUUUAAAGCACCUCGCUUACACCGAGCAAACAUCUGUUAGACCCAGAUCAUUUUGA